rnacentral:lncRNA from 1 species
UUUUGACUUUAAAAUAAGUACAUUUAUAAUUUCCAAUACUUUCGCUUGUUUGAGGCAAGGUACAUAGCAAUACGGUUCACACCGUGGUUUCAACAAAGGCUGGUUUAAUUAAUAAAGAAAUUGUUUGGGCAUAACUUAGCUACAGUAAACGGGCAAAAAAAUAUGCAAAAACAUUUUGAUCAUGCCAUGGCGUUGGAAUCAGCUUUUGCAUGUUACUUGGAGAAACUUUGUUAUUCGUAUUACUUUACCCUCAGACCUCAGUCAGAAAUCCCAGCUUAGGUAGAGAAAUGCGUGGAAUUUUACCUCUGAACAAAACUAUCGAUCUG